rnacentral:rRNA from 1 species
AGUGAACGCUGGCGGUAGGCCUAACACAUGCAAGUCGAACGGCAGCACAGUAAGAGCUUGCUCUUACGGGUGGCGAGUGGCGGACGGGUGAGGAAUACAUCGGAAUCUACUUUUUCGGGGGGGAUAACGUAGGGAAACUUACGCUAAUACCGCAUACGACCUACGGGUGAAAGCAGGGGAGCUUCGGACCUUGCGCGAUUGAAUGAGCCGAUGUCGGAUUAGCUAGUUGGCGGGGUAAAGGCCCACCAAGGCGACGAUCCGUAGCUGGUCUGAGAGGAUGAUCAGCCACACUGGAACUGAGACACGGUCCAGACUCCUACGGGAGGCAGCAGUGGGGAAUAUUGGACAAUGGGCGCAAGCCUGAUCCAGCCAUACCGCGUGGGUGAAGAAGGCCUUCGGGUUGUAAAGCCCUUUUGUUGGGAAAGAAAAGCAGCAGGUUAAUACCCCGCUGUUCUGACGGUACCCAAAGAAUAAGCACCGGCUAACUUCGUG